GGCGGUGGACCCUGUCCUCUCUCUGGGUGCAGGGAAUGACUGUUUCUGAGCUGUUGAACCCAAACUCCCCACGUGGGACAGGGACUGCGUCCAACUCGACUUACUGGGGUCCAACCCAGCGCUUAGUACAGUGCCUAGCACAUAGUAAGCGCUUACCAAAUACCAUCAUUAUUAUUAUUAAUGAACUGGCCGCUCAAUUCUGGCAGGAGGUUCGCCAGGCGGCCGAGCCCCGGGCUAGGAGAGAAAUUCACCCGGCGGAGCUCCCUGGACUUGCUCCGCUGCCAUUUCACCUAACGGACUUCGGGGGUCGGGGCCGUCUCUAAGCUGAAACAAAGGAGCGAGCCGAGAGCGUGGGGGUCAGGCGAUGGUCGAGGCCCCUGUCGGCUUGUCUAAAAAAUGGUCAGAUCCAGCCUCCGUUAGGACCACGUUCCUCUGACUGCAGAAAGUCACGCCUUUAACAGAGCAUUUGAAAACAGCUCUCUUGAGGUCCCCGCAGAUGAUCCGUGUGGGAUGUUUGAAUAUGACUUCUGAAAUGCAGUUUAUUUAAAUUCGAACAAUGAGGAGUCAUUUGUGAUUUACAGUGAUAAUAAAAAGGGAGAGCGACUUUGAGGGUUUCUGAAGGGGCCAUAAUCCUCCGUUAUUGCUUUUUCAGUUUAAUACUCUAGGCCCAAAAUGCAUCGUUACCCUUUUACAGCCCGCCCUACCAGAACCCUUUGCGUUUGUGGGGUUUUUUUCCAGCGUGGUUUAAGGAUCCCUUAGGCCCUCUGAAAAAGAGGGAGCCCACAGAUGUGAGGUGGAGAUUUAGAAGCCUCUGUGCACCGAUCUCACCUAAUGUCGGGGGCUCUCGCUUGAAGAGUUUGAAUUCUCUUUAUCGCACUCAUUCUUUUAUUUUAGAAUUCAUAAUUUAGAUGCCCGUUAGCAUUUCGAACAGCUAGGUAGCAAGCACUGUAAUUAAACUAGAUUUCAGGGGCUGGGAGUUGAGAUCGGGCUCGGGGAAAAUGCUCCCUUCUCGGAAAUGGAAGACUGGGCCCAGGUGACCGAGGCGAGUUUAGCGUUUCCGAGCACCCAAAGCCACCCCCGCUUUCUGCUCCGGACGGAUUUGGAAUGGUUCUAGGAGGGACCGAGAAAUAAAACAUUUCUGGACAUUAGCAACGGAGGGGAAGUUAGUGUUGUUUUAAUCGCUGCUAACGAGGAACAGAGGUUAGAGGAAAUUAGGGCAAAAGCCAGAGGUCUGCUAGAAAAACGUAGGCACAAGGGGAGGCAGACUGGGGUGGCACUCUGGAAAACUGAUGGAAAUGACUCCAAGGUUUCUCCAACUUUUCUCCCUCGAGAUAUGUUCCCGACCCUGAGGCCCAGGGGGUGAGGGAAUGGGGGGGGACCCUCUGCUUCUGUCCUUGGAUCUGUGCGUAGUUUGUCUUUGGCUCGUGGUCCUGUUUGAUCCCCCCACCCCCCGUUCCUUUUCUGCCCUCAUACCUAGUUUGUCUGCCCUGAUUUACAUAAAUAUGAACUUUUAUCCCCUCUCUUAGGGGCCGGAUGCUAUCCUAACCUGGUGGUGUCCCCCAACAGAAACGUUGGGCCCCCGUACCCAAAUGGAUGCAUUUCCCCCCACCCUUCCUGAGCGAUCGAUCGGGCCUUUUCCUUCGUUCCUUUCGGUUGUAGAACCACUCAGAACUAGGAUUUAGCAGCAAAACGUUUCUUGUUAGCAUUUGGCAGGUGAGCCUGAGUUAAAAAUGUUGCUGGCUCUAAGUUAUAGCUCAUCCGUGGCUUUCCUGCGUUUGCAACGGUCCCCACUCUCUCAUAGCAGGAAAUUAGGUUGUUCUGACACGCUUUGUUCCUUUCCAACCCCAGCGGUGAUUACCCAAUCCCCGCUGACUUCUUCGGGGUUGGUACAUCGACUCAGAGCGUGAGGGUGAUUGGUUUUCCUCUGUCCACCGAGGGCCGGCCGACGUCACCCUCCUCUAGCCCUACCCUGGUCGUCCUUAAGGGCCGAGGCCUGUGUUUCUUGAGCAGGGCAGGCAGCUUUAGCUUCAAGGGGAUGCCAUUUCCCGGGACACCUAUGGUGGACAACUGGACCACUGGCCCAGUGACUGCUAAGACAGGACCCUGGCAGGGUUUCCACCCGAGAACUGGUUUCCAGCCCCAUGGCACUGUGCCCUCAGUUUCCCAGCGUCCUCAGCCACUGCUCUGCCUUUUCACCCCAGGCAACACGUCCAUCGCGAAAUGUUUUUAAACUUCAUAAAAAUAAACGUGACUUCCAAGAAGGCUCUCGUUUACUGGUGCCGGCCACUUCCCCGGAGCCCGGUGAGUAGGUAGGCGGUCUGAAAUCGUGGCUCCAACCCACUUCACGGAGGUUUGGAGAGAACACCGGGGUGCUGUGUUUUUUGGGAUGGCGAGGAGGAUGGGGAGACUCGUGUCAUAUGCUAAGAAAAUGGCGUCAGGUAAGCCACGGAAACACAAAUCCGGUGAGUAACCUACCUUUCUUGGCUACUUUUUCCCAAUUUUUAGGAUUCUUUUGUUGCUAAGUUACUCAUCUUAUAAUUGGCAGAAUUGGGCUCAAGAUACCUUAUGAUCCCCUGUUUUUUUAAAUAUGGAUGGAGAGGAGGCUUUGAGGAGGUUCACAUCAGUUUCAGAGAGGACUUUUUCCCCUUUAAAGGGAAACCAGGAAAGGCCAUUACCAAGUAAAUCUUUUUUUCUUUCGUUCAUUCAAACAAAAGUUAGCAACUACAAACCCCCUGCCCUUCUCCCAUGAAUUUUGAGCCAGACUUUUUUGGGGACUGGGUGCCUGAUGCACCACAGGUCCCAUGAUUAUUCUGUUGACGCGAGUCAGUGAAAUGUCUCCUCUUUCUGUUGACACGAGUCAGUGAAAUGUCUCCUCUAGAGCCGGGGUUCCAGAACACGCCUCCUGGUACUAGGCCCCGAAGGCUCGCCAGUGGCCACCACGCCUUUCACCAGGCGCCUUGGGAAACGCCAGCUGCAUUUCAAGCCAUUUUCUCCGACCAUUGUUGUGGGGAGGGUUGGGGAGGGAAGAAGCCCAGUGAAGGGUGCAGAUAGAAGAAAACCGAAGCAAUCACAUAAUCAGCAAUGCCAAGGAGCAGAGCCACAGACAAAAGCGAGCACUUACUGUAGCUACUUUCGCUAUCGCUGGCAUUAGAAGAAACAUGUUCUGCAAGGACAGUACAGCAAAUUAAAGCGAAUCACCAAAGCACCGCGGGGCAGCCGCAACUCAAAGGGGCGCGUGCGUUCAUGCAGGGCGGAGACGGAGGUGGGCCGAGGGAAAGCCGCAGAGAGAGCACCCUGAAAACCUUCAGGUCCGACGCUAGGCAGUGAAGAUGAAAGCUUUAUCUUGGAAUACGGUGGCUUCCCCCUCCCGCCCUUCCCGCCCCCCGCCAUAGUCAUGGCAAUAAUAUCAGGAGCCCCGGUGGCCCUGAGACCAGGGUCUUUAUUUCGUUUAGAGAACAAUGCCAGCCCCACGUAAUGGCCUUCUCAGACCCAUCCUGGCCACUCCCCUGUCACUGAUUUUUGUUUUUCCUUCAAAGUGGAUGAAAUAAGGCCCUUUGGGUCUAGACAGAUUCUUUUCAAUUACACAUAAUUUGCAGAGGGGUGAGGCUCGAGUGGUAACUGGCGCUCCUCCUUAAGCCUCCAAAUGGGCCGUGAGUCACUGGGAAAAAUCUUCCUUUUCACCACAGCAAUGGACAGGUGAGCAUCUUCAUUUCCCUUUAGCGAAACUUUCGCUAAAGUCGUAACCCUAGGGAGGAAGGGGAUGUGGUCUGAGGCAGGUGUGGCUGACGAAAACAAGGCUCGGGGAGAAUGGAGUUGGGGGACAAACAAUCUAGCAAAUCAGUUAAACAGGUCUUCCUUUUCGAUUCUCUUAUAGUAAGGCCUGGGCUCUGGGCCCCACAGAUUGACUGUCGUAAAGAUGAUUCAUUCCUUCAUUUCCCUCUGUUUCCCCACUGUAAAUUAAACUGUGCUUUUGGUUUGAACUUGUGAUUGACUGCCUCCCACCCCCAAAGGUAAAUUUUUCAGCUUUCCAAAUUCCUUUUUUAAUUGCGAGGAAUCUGUUCCCAUUUGCUUGGCUAGAAAAGCUUGCGUGGCCCUUUUGUGUUCUCCACCGGCAACGUGCCGUUUCAGGGUGUUUGAAGAGGGUACGGUGUCCCCGUGUUUUUGCUUAGAUUCAUUAAUGGGACCAGUAUAGUGAGGCCUCCCUGCGUGAAGCAAUUCUGCCCUUAAAUAAAGUUAAUUUUGGAAUGUUGCAGGAAGGAAGGCGCCCAGAGAAGAUCUCAGAGCACCGGCAACAUCACCUCUAUUAAAUCUCCGAAUUCCCAGGAGGGGGAAAGGCUCCCGGCCGACAGAUGAGUGACAUCUUCACGGCGAGUGCAUUAAUGGGCUGGGGAUCGGACCCGGUAAGCUAUUGUCUGGGAGAUCGUCUCUAGAGAUUUCAAGCUACCAACUUCCCUUCCUUCUCAUCAUGCUGCAGCUUGGGAUGGAGGCCCUGAGAUGCCAAAAAGGGCCGCUGGGGUCCAAUCGAUCCAGCCCGUCCUCCCCAGGGGACCCAGCAGGAGGGUGAAGAAUGGGGUAGAGCACCGCUCCGAGAAUGCCGCAAAUUGAGGAAGCGCCAAAUAUCCCACGGCCCACGCAUCCCGCAAGAUAAAGGUUUCAUCUCUAAGAAGAAAAGCUGCUGGGGAGGAGCGGCUUCUGCUUUCAAGAUGCGCUGGAGAAAACCGUCAAGGGUUUCCGCGGGGUGCCAAGAAAUCGGCAUCCUGCUGCCCCAGCGCAUCUCGGGGGCAGAAGCCGGCCCGGUCCCGUUUGGAUUUAGAGAGAAGAAAUGAACGGCCUCUUAAGAACCCCACUGCAAGUCAGAAAAAGAAAUCCAUCAAGGUUAGAGUCCCCAGAGAAAGCAGUGAGAGAGGGAGAACAGCCGCGGAAGAGGAAGGGAGAAGUCAGUGGAGUUGAAAUGGAUACUACCAGGAUGGACCGUGCCGACGCAGCAGUCUGGAUCCCGGCCUUCCUCCUUCCCGGGCCCCCCUGGCUCCGUCGCCUCGGGGCACGGUGGGGAGAGCCCUCCAAGGACGGGGGAAUUGUUUUGGGGUGGGGGGGAGAAGGGAGCGGGGAAGAAGCCCAGGUCACCAGGGCCUAGAGAUCGAAAAUGACGAGAAGUCGGUGGCCCUGUGAAGCCUCUUCAAAUGCAAGGGCGGCUUGGAAAAAUAAAAAGGGUCACCGUUU